ACAACAUUUGGACCGUCGGUCUACGAGCAAUACCACCCGUUCGGUGGAAUAUCUUCUCUCUUUCGU
rnacentral:pre_miRNA from 1 species